GAUUUUUGAUAAUUCAUUUCUGCGUAAGGUUGAGAACAAUGAGGCCACACCAUGUCCUCUAUAUGAUGCAUCACGGAACGAAGAAAGCAAGAAAUUGCAGCAGAACGAACAAUCACAAGCAUCUAACUCACGCAUAAGGAGACUGGCUAAUGAUAGAGAGAUGAUGGAUUUAUCCACUCGCCUAAUUUACUGUGCACAAGCCGUGGGAAGCGGUGAUCAAAGGACUGCAUAUGAGCAACUAAAGCAGAUAAGGCUACAUGCUUCUCCAUUCGGAAAUGGAAACCAAAGAAUGGCUCAUUAUUUCGCUAAUGCGCUUGAAGCACGUCUAGCAGGCACUGAAAAUUUGGUUCAAAACGUGAUUGCAGGACCUUCAACGACUGUUGCUGAUAUCCUGAAAGCAUACCAACUUUAUGUUUCAAUAUGCCCUUUCAGGAAGAUGACAAAUUUUUUCACUAACAGAACAAUUGCCAAAGUAGUAGACAAGGCAAACAGGC
rnacentral:misc_RNA from 1 species